UACGUAGGGUGCGAGCGUUUGUCCGGAAUUAUUGGGCGUAAAGAGCUCGUAGGCGGUGUGUCACGUCGGCCCGUGAAAACCUGCAGCUUAACUGUGGGCGUGCGGUCGAUACGGGCAUCACUGGAGUUCGGCAGGGGAGACUGGAAUUCCUGGUGUAGCGGUGAAAUGCGCAGAUAUCAGGAGGAACACCGGUGGCGAAGGCGGGUCUCUGG
rnacentral:rRNA from 1 species